rnacentral:rRNA from 1 species
UACGUAGGAUGCAAGCGUUGUCCGGAUUUACUGGGCGUAAAGCGCGCGCAGGCGGCAGUGUAAGUAAGGUGUGAAAUCUCCCUGCUCAACGGGGAGGGUGCACUUUAGACUACACAGCUAGAGGUCGGUAGAGGGGGGUGGAAUUGCUGGUGUAGCGGUGAAAUGCGUAGAGAUCAGCAGGAACACCCGUGGCGAAGGCGGCCCCCUGGGCCGUACCUGACGCUGAGGCGCGAAGGCUAGGGGAG